GACCCCAGUGUUUAGUACUCCCCUGUGUCCAUGUGUUCUCAUCACCCGCCUAUGAGUGAGAAUAUGCGGUGUUUCAUUUUCUGUUCUUGUGUCAGUUUGCUGAGGAUGAUGUUCUCCAGAUUCAUCCAUGUCCCUACGAACGACACGAACUCAUCAUUUCUGAUUGCUGCAUAAUAUUCCAUGGUGUAUAUGUGCCACAUUUUUCCAAUCCAGUCUAUUAUCAAUGGGCAUUUGGGUUGAUUCCAGGUCUUUGCUAUUGUAAACAGUGCUGCAAUGAACAUUCGUGUACAUGUGUCUUAUAGUAGAACGAUUUAUAGUCUUUUGGAUAUAUACCCAGUAAUGGGAUUGCUGGGUCAAAUGGAAUUUCUAUUUCUAAGGCCUUGAGGAAUCGCCACACUGUCUUCCACAAUGGUUGAACUAAUUUACACUCCCACCAACAGUGUAGAAGUGUUCCUUUUUCUCCACAUCCUCUCCAGAAUCUGUUGUCUCCAGAUUUUUUAAUAAUCGCCAUUCUAACUGGCGUGAGAUGGUAUCUCAAUGUGGUUUUGAUUUGCAUCUCUCUGAUGACCAGUGACGAUGAGCAUUUUUUCAUAUGAUUGUUGGCCUCAUAUGUCUUCUUUCGUAAAGUGUCUGUUCAUAUCCUUUGCCCACUUUUGAAUGGGCUUGUUUUUUUUUUUCCUGUAAAUCCGUUUGAGUUCUUUGUAAAUUCUGGAUAUCAGCCCUUUGUCAGAUGGGUAAACUGCAAAGAUUUUUUCCCAUUCUGUUGGUUGCCGAUCCACUCUAGUGACUGUUUCUUUUGCCGUGCAGAAGCUGUGGAGUUUCAUUAGGUCCCAUUUGUCUAUUUUGGCUUUUGUUGCCAAUGCUUUUGGUGUUUUGUUCAUGAAGUUCUUGCCUACUCGUAUGUCCUGGAUAGUUUUGCCUAGAUUUCCUUCUAGGGUUUUUAUCGUGCCAAGUCUUAUGUUUAAGUCUUUAAUCCAUCUGGAGUUAAUUUUGGUGUAAGGUGUCAGGAAGGGGUCCAGUUUCUGCUUUCUGCACAUGGCUAGCCAGUUUUCCCAACACCAUUUGUUGAACAGGGAAUCCUUUCCCCCUUGCUUGUUUUUGUCAGGUUUAUCAAAGAUUGUAUAUUUGUAGAUAUGUUGUGUUGCCUCCGGUGCCUCUGUUUUAUUCCAUUGGUCUAUAUCUCUGUUUUGAUACCAGUACCAUGCUGUUUUGAUUACUGUAGCCUUGUAGUAUAGUUUGAAAUCCGGUAGUGUGAAGCCCCCCGCUGUGUUCUUUUUGCUUAGAAUUGACUUGGCUAUGCAGGCUCUCUUUUGGUUCCAUAUGAAGUUCAUGGUGGUUUUCUCCAGUUCUGUGAAGAAAGUCAAUGGUAGCUUGAUGGGGAUAGCGUUGAUUCUGUAAAUUACUUUGGGCAGUAUAGCCAUUUUCACGAUAUUAAUUC
rnacentral:lncRNA from 1 species